UAAUUUGUUGCUUAAAAAGUGUUGUAGCUUAGAAAUUGAUGUGGAAAAGCAAGCAAUAAAGCAUUGUAGCUUGCCAUUGGAGAUGCUCUGCUGGUAGCUGAAUUAUCUCUUUAUACUUUCUCGUGGGACCAAUUAAUUGGAUAAGAAUUUUAGUGAAAUUUGAUCAAAGCCCAAUCCUCUAGAUAAAGGAAACAAUUCAUAAAAAAAGUAAUUCAAUAAAUACAUACGUAUAUAUAUAUAUAUAAAAAAAAAAAAUUAAAAUCGUCAUUACAUUAUUACAUAUUAAACCGAACAACUUUUUUUCUUUUUUCUUUUUCCUUUUUUUGCACUGUGCUCCAAAUUUCCAACUUCUUCCCUUAAUCUUCCAACUUUCUGUUCGUAAUACAGUUUUAAUAACAGGGCAAUUAAGGAGCAGAAAAGCAGCAUCAAUGGCGAUGAGAUUGAGCAUGUCGUUGCGAGUGGCGGCAUUCGUGUGGGCAGCUUUAUGCAGUUUUCUUUCUGUCAUGUUUACAUAUGCUCAAGAUAUUGCUAAUUCUUAGGUACCUAUAACUAUUUUCUGUGCCCGGAAUUAGGUUAUCCUUCAUCCUUUUUCAUUGAUUAUGAACCGCAGUGUUGUAAUUGGGUAUAAUAAAGUGAGUUUAAUCGAAAUUAGGAUUUUUUUUAAAAAAAGAUAUUUCUUAUGAUAGGGUUUUUAUUUUUAUUUUUAGGGGGGACCUUAAUUAUGUAAAAAUUUGAUAGGGAUGUAAAUACUUAUAGUGAAUGAUUGGAAUUAUUGAGUUUAGAGACUAUUUUUGAUA